rnacentral:rRNA from 1 species
AUUGAACGCUGGCGGCAUGCUUUACACAUGCAAGUCGAACGGUAACAGGCCGCAAGGUGCUGACGAGUGGCGAACGGGUGAGUAAUGCAUCGGAACGUGCCCAGUCGUGGGGGAUAACGCAGCGAAAGCUGCGCUAAUACCGCAUACGAUCUAUGGAUGAAAGCGGGGGACCGAAAGGCCUCGAGCGAUUGGAGCGGCCGAUGUCAGAUUAGGUAGUUGGUGGGGUAAAGGCUCACCAAGCCAACGAUCUGUAGCUGGUCUGAGAGGACGACCAGCCACACUGGGACUGAGACACGGCCCAGACUCCUACGGGAGGCAGCAGUGGGGAAUUUUGGACAAUGGGCGCAAGCCUGAUCCAGCAAUGCCGCGUGCAGGAAGAAGGCCUUCGGGUUGUAAACUGCUUUUGUACGGAACGAAACGGUCCUGGUUAAUACCUGGGGCUAAUGACGGUACCGUAAGAAUAAGCACCGGCUAACUACGUGCCAGCCGCCGCCGUAAGAC